GACGAACGCUGGCGGCGCGCCUAACACAUGCAAGUCGAACGGGCGAGCGAGAGCUUGCUUUCUCAAGCGAGUGGCGAACGGGUGAGUAACGCGUGAGGAACCUGCCUCAAAGAGGGGGACAACAGUUGGAAACGACUGCUAAUACCGCAUAAGCCCACGACCCGGCAUCGGGUAGAGGGAAAAGGAGCAAUCCGCUUUGAGAUGGCCUCGCGUCCGAUUAGCUAGUUGGUGAGGUAACGGCCCACCAAGGCGACGAUCGGUAGCCGGACUGAGAGGUUGAACGGCCACAUUGGGACUGAGACACGGCCCAGACUCCUACGGGAGGCAGCAGUGGGGAAUAUUGCACAAUGGGGGAAACCCUGAUGCAGCGACGCCGCGUGGAGGAAGAAGGUCUUCGGAUUGUAAACUCCUGUUGUUGAGGAAGAUAAUGACGGUACUCAACAAGGAAGUGACGGCUAACUACGUG
rnacentral:rRNA from 1 species